AGCAAAUUGUAUUACCACCACCACCACCCUAAAAUCACUAGCACAAGACCUGGAUUGAAAAUGGAAAGGAUGGGAACUAUUUAUAUCAAUAUACAUUGGUGAACUAUACAUCAAUCCUAUGUAAUUAGCUGGGAGAAGAAAAGAUCUGCCAGAAAGUCCUUAUGGCAUCCAAAGUCCUGUAUAUUAUCAGUGGUCACAGUGCUCUAUCUCCAUCCUGCUGAAUGCAGAAGCAAGGAAUUAUGCUUUAAGUUGCCAAAGUGACGUUUCACUACAAAAACUGAAUUAAAAAGGAUUUGAAUUAAAAAGAAGUUUGGACAAUGGAAUGCUGGUGCCCCAAUUCCAACAAGCCUAUCUGAGGCAUCCAGGUUCAGCAUGCCACCCUAUCAGUAGUGCUCCAUUGUGUUAGCAAAGGGGCACACCCAAUAAGAUUAGGACUGCUCUGCUCUAGUGGAAGAAAUAAAAGGAAGUAUUCAUCAGAGAUGACAAAUGCUAUAUCCAUCCAGUGUUUAAACUGGUUACAAAACCUCAGAACAAUAGAAUUUAAAGCUAACUCAGCACUGUUCCUGAGCUACGAUGAAUCACUUAGUCUGUCUCAACUACAUUGUUGUCAUGUAAUUUUUCAUACCCGUCAACAUUUUACUCUUAUAUGAAAAAAUGCCACAUUGUUGGUAACUACUACAUACACAUUUAUUAAUCAAAUUUAUAUAAUCACCCAUAUCAUCAAAAGUAACCCAAGGUGGUGCACAGCAAAUGGAUAAAACCACUUAUAACAACUACAGAUGUAAAAGAAAUAUUCAAAAAUCGCAUUAAUUAUAGGUAGUAUAAAAACAGAGCUGCAAACCCUAGGCCAAGAGAGAAUAAAAAUAGCCAGUUUAGCAAUGGAGCCAUCUAAUCAUGCCUCCUGUUCCCUGGGAGUCCCAGACUUGAUAACCAGAUCUUGAGGAUCUUUCAGAAUAUCAGAAUGGAUGGAGCUAAUUUAAUUUCAGCAGAAAGAAUGUUCCAAAAGGCAGGUGCCAUGGCAGAGAAGGCACAUUUCCUGAAAUCCACCAAAUGUAAAUCCUAGCUAAUGGUACCCAAAUCAUGCUUCCUCUGGAAGAUCUCAUGGAGGCUGAUAUAAAUGGGGAGAGAUGAUGCCUCAGAUAGAAUGGUCAAUACCAGCACUUUGAAUUGAUGUGGAGGCAAAGUGGCAACUCAUGUAGCUUUUGUGUGUGUGUGUUUCUGUAUUUAUAUUUAUUAAAUUUCUAUGUUGCCUACCUCCCUGAUACAGCAAUACUGGGCAGAUUACAAUAUAAUAAAAAGUUAAAAAGAGCUAAAAUGUUUAAAUUUUUAAAAAAAUGAAUAGAAAAGUUAAAAACCAAGAUGAUAGAUGAGGGGUAAGAAUGUAGCAGGCCCUAUUAUAGCCCCAGGCUAAGUGGGUGAGCCAAGUUUUUAAGCCGUUUUGGAAGGAAAAAAUUUGAGAGGCAGGGGCCACAGCCAAAAAGUCUCCUCCUGAACACCUCCAGGUGAAGUUCUUUGGCUGACAGGAUCUGAAGUAGGCCAUUUCUGUUGUGACUCAGACCCACGAGCCCGUCUUAUCGGAGCGAGAAGACUCCGAAAGUGAAGGAGAGGAGUUGCCAAGGCCUCCCUCUCCAGGACCCUCCUCUCUGGCAAUGCCUCAGGUGUCCUCCGAAGGCCAAGAGAUAGGCCAGGGGCCAGGCACUUCGGAGCAGCUGCAGUUGGACAGCGAUGGAGAUGAGUCUUGGCUGGACCCCCAACAGCAUUGCAGAGCUAAGCGCGCACAACAGAGGAAGAGGCGUGCCAGAGAUUAAGCUGAGUCACUGGACCACACCCCACAGGAGAUAAAAGAGGGUGUGGUGGCCAGUCAAGCCUUGUGAUGAACAAAACUGAAAGCUAGCAAGUCAUUCUGCAUUUCUGGAACUUUGUUAUAUGCUCUGCUUGGAUUGAUUUUUGGACUGGACUUGACUAUUCUAUGGCUUUUGUGGACUUACUUUGAUGUUUUGGUCGGAGGAAAUAAACCUCCCUUUGUAAGUAAAAACUUUUGGCAAGCAGCCACUGGGUUGCUGCCAAUUCUGUUAUCAAAGGAAA